UGGUGGGGUAAGGGCCUACCAAGGCUACGAUCCAUAGCUGAUUUGAGAGGAUGAUCAGCCACAUUGGGACUGAGACACGGCCCAAACUCCUACGGGAGGCAGCAGUGAGGAAUAUUGGACAAUGGGGGCAACCCUGAUCCAGCAAUGCCAUGUGUGUGAAGAAGGCCUUAGGGUUGUAAAGCACUUUAGUUGGGGAGGAAAGCUUUGAGGUUAAUAGCCUUGAGGAGGGACGUUACCCAAAGAAUAAGCACCGGCUAACUCCGUGCCAGCAGCCGCGGUAAUACKGGGGGGUGCAAGCGUUAAUCGGAAUUACUGGG
rnacentral:rRNA from 1 species